rnacentral:lncRNA from 1 species
CCGGCUCAAAGAUCUUUCCAGUCUCUCGGCUUUCAUGGAGACUUCCUUCAUCUUGUGCACACGCAGGCAGAUCGAUGAUGCUUCGUAGCCACGGCCCAGCCCUCCCUCCAUCAGCCCGCUCUGGGCUGUGAAAGCAUCUCCGCCUUGCAGAGUGGAAAGGCCGCCUUGCCCAUUCCACAGAUGAGGAAACUGAGGCAGAGAGCAGGGGCCUGUGCGAGCUCUGUCUCCAUCUGACAAAGCUGUGCCCUCCUCCUGGAGCCUGCCUGCCCUCUCCUCCUGGCCUUGGCCUGCCACCUCAAGUGUUUUCCCCCUGGGUCUUAUGCCUCCCCGUGCUGUUUCUUCAGAGGGCCCAACACUGGACACUCAGGCAGAAUUCUUUCGGAGCCGGCGUUGGAGCAGAGGCCGGCAGGCCGUUGCCCUUGGUGACGGCAGAGACAGUGUCAUUGGCCGGAGGGUGUUGAGACAGGGGCCGUUCCCGAAAGAGCCCCGGACCUGGAGCCUGCCCCCUUCCUCCAGCAACUCCAUUGCUUUCCACCUGCCGCCUUGUCUUCUCACCUGGACCUUUCCCUGUGACCUCUGGAGCUCUGGACACCAUGGGCCCUUGCCCCCUCUUUAGGAUUUCAGAAAGCUUCCUGGAACAUCCAAGACAGGCAGCUAUGCAAUGAAUCCAGUUUGGACACGGGUUUUAUUUGGCCUGCAUCUUUAAAAAAAUGUGCACCUGUACUGUGAAAAGAGGAGGUUGCGUGCAGAGAGCAGAGCUGCGGGCCGGGCCCUGAGCCAAGUGCUGGGAGUGCAGGGGGAGGAGGGCAGAGGCAGAGGCAGACCGAUGGCAGGCACCAAUGGCAGACCAAUGGCAAGCAUUG